rnacentral:tRNA from 1 species
UGCCUGGUGGUCCAGUGGUUAAGAUUCUGCACUUCCAAUGCAGGGGGCAUGGGUUUGAUCCCUGGUCAGGGAA